rnacentral:lncRNA from 1 species
UGUGAGACAGCACAUGCCCAGCACACUAGCCAGAAAGCCUUGUAAUGCUUCAAAGCAGUUUAGAUACUGAUACCAUCAAAGCUUAGCUGAAAAGGAUCCUGCACAGCCAUGUCCAUGCAGUCUGUGCAGGUGCACUGCCAGCAGAACAGAUUCCAACUGAUGCAUUUAAAUCCGAUGGAGAUGACCAUGGAAGGAUCUCUGCUGCAAUGAGAGUGCUUUUUAUGUCCACUGCCAGUGAAGCACCCUGUGCCAAGCUGGUGCAUGCAAGGGGAUGAGUGAGAUCAAGUGCGGAUGCUGCCCAAGCAUUCUGGG